GAAAUUAUUGAUAAGCCCUGAAUCACAGGCUGGAAGUUUCAUUCUUCUCUUCUGUGAACUGCUUCAAGUGUAACACAGGAGACCGCUUAUAUCUCCUCUUAAAUGGUACAAAGGCUCCUCUUCAGCUUGAAAUCCCAUACAUCCUGCUUUUCCCACAGAUGGCCCAAGGAAGACUCCUGCUUUCACAGAGGUGAGAAUAGAAUUAAAUGUAUCCAGAUGCCCUCAUGAAGUAUCCCUUAGAAUACAUAAAAUAAAAGUGAAAGAAAAUGACA
rnacentral:lncRNA from 1 species